UUGAUCCUACGGGGGGCAGCAGUGGGGAAUAUUGCACAAUGGGGGAAACCCUGAUGCAGCGACGCCGCGUGAGUGAAGAAGUAAUUCGUUACGUAAAGCUCUAUCAGCAGGGAAGAAAUACUGACCUUACGGUCAGCAGACGGUACCUGAGUAAGAAGCCCCGGCUAACUACGUGCCAGCAGCCGCGGUAAUACGUAGGGGGCAAGCGUUAUCCGGAUUUACUGGGUGUAAAGGGAGCGUAGGCGGCCAUGCAAGUCAGAAGUGAAAACCCGGGGCUCAACCCUGGGAGUGCUUUUGAAACUGUG
rnacentral:rRNA from 1 species